CAGGAAGCUACUUUUUCAGAGAAGGGAAGUUGAAAUGUUCCUCAUACCUCAUGCGAUAAAAGCCAUGUUUUGCGACCAGCGACCUACACAGCCUGACGGGCAUCUCGUUUAUUAAAUGUGCACUUUCGACCAGUUUCCUGUGCUUUUUACUGAUGCCUUUCUCAGAGGUCAGGAUGCACCGUUCCUGUUGAGCAGCCAAUCGAGCAGUCUUUGUGACUCCUGCCAUCUGUGCUCCAAUGAUGAAAUUUUCUUUCAAAGUCAUAUAGCUCUACAUCUCACCUAUCUGGAAGUAUCUUGC
ensembl:lncRNA